GCUAGGCCGAGCAGCACAAAGCGGGAGGCGUAAAAGAUCGGCUCAUCAGUCGCUUUGGGGGCGCGAGCCACUUAUGUGUCACGGACCCGCGAUAUAUUGGAGGCCAUCCAAUUCUGCGGAAAUUAUUAAAGCUAUGUAAACGCUUUCGUUUUAGGAACGUUGCCGCAGUCCAUGGAAGCGCUUUCAUCGCUGUUUCAACGCAUUUAUUAAAACAAAUCAAAGGAAGGCCGUAAGUGAUCCCAAAACAUAAAGAUAAAAUAUUGGAGUUUGUUUGUUAUGAGCAACUAUUUAUUGCAUGACC